rnacentral:rRNA from 1 species
AUUGAACGCUGGCGGCAUGCUUUACACAUGCAAGUCGAACGGCAGCGCGGGCUUCGGCCUGGCGGCGAGUGGCGAACGGGUGAGUAAUACAUCGGAACGUGCCCAGUAGUGGGGGAUAGCUCGGCGAAAGCCGGAUUAAUACCGCAUACGACCUGAGGGUGAAAGCGGGGGAUCUUCGGACCUCGCGCUAUUGGAGCGGCCGAUGGCAGAUUAGCUAGGUGGUGGGGUAAAGGCCUACCAAGGCGACGAUCUGUAGCUGGUCUGAGAGGACGACCAGCCCCCGUGGGGCUUGGGACCCGCCCCAGCCCCCCCCGGGAGGCACCAGUGGGAAUUUUUGGAACAGGGGCGAAACCCGACCCCACCACUCCCGCUUGUGUGAUGAGGUCCUUCGGUUUUAAAACCCCUUUUGGCGGGAACAAAAAGGCCUGCCCCAACCCCACGGUUCGUUGACGGUCCCCGAAGAAUAACCCCCGGCUACCCCCGG